UCUUGCAAGUAUUCAUUUACAUUUUUAUCGUAUUGUAAUCUCUGAGCUCCAGAUUGGGACAGUUUUUACUUUAUUAUAAAAUUGAGAUGCAUUUGCUUGUUUGGUGCGUAGGGAUGUUUGAGAUAGAUUUGUGACCGCCGUUUUGAGGCCAGCUUGCUGGUACCCAAACUGUGUUAGCAUUUUUUAUCUUGGAUAUUUGAGUAUGGCUUACGGGCGUUUAUUGGUUCGAUCUGAGUGUAAGUUACGGUCGCAUGCGACACGUGCUUUUCAAUUAGUUCGGUCCAGUUAAUGCUCUCAUACUCUUUCCCUAUGUAAAAGCCGGUCAUCUAUCCGACCCGUCUUGAAACACGGACCAAGGAGUUUAUCGUGUGCGCAAGUUUUUGGGUGUUUAAAACCUAAAAGCGCAAUGAAAGUAAAUGUUCUCUUUCGAGACUGAUGUGCGAUAUUUUUUUUUCGAAAAAAUUGCAGCAUGGCCCCAUUCUAUCUGUUUACAGAAGGGUGGCGGAAGAGCGUACGCGGUGAGACCCGAAAGAUGGUGAACUAUUCCUGAGCAGGAUGAAGCCAGAGGAAACUCUGGUGGAAGUCCGAAGCGGUUCUGACGUGCAAAUCGAUCGUCUGACUUGGGUAUAGGGGCGAAAGACUAAUCGAACCAUCUAGUAGCUGGUUCCUUCCGAGGAA
rnacentral:rRNA from 1 species